GGAGGAAAAGAACUAACAAGGAUUCCCCUAGUAGCGGCGAGCGAAGCGGGAAGAGCUCAAAUUUAUAAUCUGGCACCUUCGGUGUCCGAGUUGUAAUCUCUAGAAAUGUUUUCCGCGUUGGACCGCACACAAGUCUGUUGGAAUACAGCGGCAUAGUGGUGAGACCCCCGUAUAUGGUGCGGACGCCCAGCGCUUUGUGAUACAUUUUCGAAGAGUCGAGUUGUUUGGGAAUGCAGCUCAAAUUGGGUGGUAAAUUCCAUCUAAAGCUAAAUAUUGGCGAGAGACCGAUAGCGAACAAGUACCGUGAGGGAAAGAUGAAAAGCACUUUGGAAAGAGAGUUAACAGUACGUGAAAUUGUUGGAAGGGAAACGCUUGAAGUCAGACUUGCUUGCCGAGCAAUCGGUUUGCAGGCCAGCAUCAGUUUUCCGGGAUGGAUAAUGGUAGAGAGAAGGUAGCAGUUUCGGCUGUGUUAUAGCUCUCUGCUGGAUACAUCUUGGGGGACUGAGGAACGCAGUGUGCCUUUUGGCGGGGGUUUCGACCUCUUCACACUUAGGAUGCUGGUGGAAUGGCUUUAAACGACCCGUCU
rnacentral:rRNA from 1 species